GCCGAGCUUGGUAACGGAAGCUUGUAACCUGCGUGGGGGCAUUAGGGUGAUAGAACACGGGUUCGUUUCACUGAGUUGGAUCCAUCGUGGUCUGUUUCUGGCUGGCCCAUUCCAAGCCGAGAAGUUGAGUCAAAGGGAAUUGAGUGAAAGCUCGGGUUCUCGUGAGUCUUAGAGCGGAGAGUACUGCGUGAGGCUGGAUUCACAGAGCAGCGAGUAUCUCCCGCUGUCGGCAGUGGAAGGAUAAGAAGUUGGUUCCACUCGGAUCCAUCAUAGCUCAAUGAGUUGACCCCUGACCUGAACCAUCAUUUUU
rnacentral:SRP_RNA from 1 species